CAGUCGCCGCGGUAAUACGAAGGGGGCUAGCGUUGUUCGGAUUUACUGGGCGUAAAGCGCACGUAGGCGGACUUUUAAGUCAGGGGUGAAAUCCCGGGGCUCAACCCCGGAACUGCCUUUGAUACUGGAAGUCUUGAGUAUGGUAGAGAUGAGUGGAAUUCCGAGUGUAGAGGUGAAAUUCGUAGAUAUUCGGAGGAACACCAGUGGCGAAGGCGGCUCACUGGACCAUUACUGACGCUGAGGUGCGAAAGCGUGGGGAGCAAACAGGAUUAGAUACCCCCGUAGUCCCUGUCUCUUAUAC
rnacentral:rRNA from 1 species